UUGAACGCUGGCGGCAUGCUUUACACAUGCAAGUCGAACGGUAACAGGCCUUCGGGUGCUGACGAGUGGCGAACGGGUGAGUAAUGCAUCGGAACGUACCCAGAGGUGGGGGAUAACGCAGCGAAAGCUGUGCUAAUACCGCAUGUGAUCUGAGGAUGAAAGCGGGGGACCGAGCAGCAAUGUUUGGCCUCGCGCCUUUGGAGCGGCCGAUGUCGGAUUAGCUAGUUGGUGGGGUAAAGGCCUACCAAGGCGACGAUCCGUAGCUGGUCUGAGAGGACGACCAGCCACACUGGGACUGAGACACGGCCCAGACUCCUACGGGAGGCAGCAGUGGGGAAUUUUGGACAAUGGGCGCAAGCCUUAUCCAGCAAUGCCGCGUGCGGGAAGAAGGCCUUCGGGUUGUAAACCGCUUUUGGCAGGAACGAAACGGUGUCCGCUAAUACCGGGCGCUAAUGACGGUACCUGCAGAAUAAGCACCGGCUAACUACGUG
rnacentral:rRNA from 1 species